UGGGGAAUAUUGGACAAUGGGCGCAAGCCUGAUCCAGCCAUGCCGCGUGAGUGAUGAAGGCCCUAGGGUUGUAAAGCUCUUUCACCGGUGAAGAUAAUGACGGUAACCGGAGAAGAAGCCCCGGCUAACUUCGUGCCAGCAGCCGCGGUAAUACGAAGGGGGCUAGCGUUGUUCGGAUUUACUGGGCGUAAAGCGCACGUAGGCGGACUAUUAAGUCAGGGGUGAAAUCCCGGGGCUCAACCCCGGAACUGCCUUUGAUACUGGUAGUCUUGAGUUCGAGAGAGGUGAGUGGAAUUCCGAGUGUAGAGGUGAAAUUCGUAGAUAUUCGGAGGAACACCAGUGGCGAAGGCGGCCCACUGGCUCGAUACUGACGCUGAGGUGCGAAAGCGUGGGGAGCAAACAGG
rnacentral:rRNA from 1 species